ACGCUCGACACCUACGGGGGNGAGCAGUCGGGAAUAUUGCGCAAUGGAGGAAACUCUGACGCAGUGACGCCGCGUAUAGGAAGAAGGUUUUCGGAUUGUAAACUAUUGUCGUUAGGGAAGAGAAAGGACAGUACCUAAGGAGGAAGCUCCGGCUAACUACGUGCCAGCAGCCACGGUAAUCUGAGCGGGCUGGCAAGGC
rnacentral:rRNA from 1 species